rnacentral:rRNA from 1 species
CAAUAGCGUAUAUUAAAGUUGUUGCAGUUAAAAAGCUCGUAGUUGAAUUUUUGCUUGCCGCCGAUGUCGGAACUUCCGUACGUUCGGCGGCGUGCAUCCUUGGGUGGAACCUGUGUGGCAUUAUGUUGUCGUGCAGGGGAUGCUCAUCGUUUACUGUGAAAAAAUUAGAGUGUUCAAAGCAGGCUUACGCCGUUGAAUAUAUUAGCAUGGAAUAAUAAGAUAGGACCUUGGUACUAUUUUGUUGGUUUGCGCACCGAGGUAAUGAUUAACAGGGACAGUUGGGGGUAUUCGUAUUCCAUUGUCAGAGGUGAAAUUCUUGGAUUUCUGGAAGACGAACUACUGCGAAAGCAUUUACCAAGGAUGUUUUCAUUAA